rnacentral:rRNA from 1 species
UACAGAGGGUGCGAGCGUUAAUCGGAAUUACUGGGCGUAAAGCGUGCGCAGGCGGUUUUGUAAGCCAGAUGUGAAAUCCCCGGGCUUAACCUGGGAAUGGCAUUUGGGACUGCAAGGCUCGAGUGCGGCAGAGGAGACUGGAAUUCCUGGUGUAGCAGUGAAAUGCGUAGAUAUCUGGAGGAACACCGGUGGCGAAGGCGGCGUUCUGGACUGCAACUGACACUGAGGAACGAAAGCCAGGGGAGCAAACGGG